rnacentral:rRNA from 1 species
ACGGGUGAGUAGCACGUGGGCAAUCUGCCCUUCACUCUGGGACAAGCCCUGGAAACGGGGUCUAAUACCGGAUAGCACUUCCACUCGCAUGGGUGGGGGCUGAAAGCUCCGGCGGUGAAGGAUGAGCCCGCGGCCUAUCAGCUUGUUGGUGAGGUAAUGGCUCACCAAGGCGACGACGGGUAGCCGGCCUGAGAGGGCGACCGGCCACACUGGGACUGAGACACGGCCCAGACUCCUACGGGAGGCAGCAGUGGGGAAUAUUGCACAAUGGGCGAAAGCCUGAUGCAGCGACGCCGCGUGAGGGAUGACGGCCUUCGGGUUGUAAACCUCUUUCAGCAGGGAAGAAGCGAAAGUGACGGUACCUGCAGAAGAAGCGCCGGCUAACUACGUGCCAGCAGCCGCGGUAAUACGUAGGGCGCAAGCGUUGUCCGGAAUUAUUGGGCGUAAAGAGCUCGUAGGCGGUCUGUCGCGUCGGAUGUGAAAGCCCGGGGCUUAACCCCGGGUCUGCAUUCGAUACGGGCAGACUAGAGUGUGGUAGGGGAGAUCGGAAUUCCUGGUGUAGCGGUGAAAUGCGCAGA